rnacentral:rRNA from 1 species
AUUGAACGCUGGCGGCAUGCCUUACACAUGCAAGUCGAACGGUAACAGGUCUUCGGAUGCUGACGAGUGGCGAACGGGUGAGUAAUACAUCGGAACGUGCCCGAUCGUGGGGGAUAACGAGGCGAAAGCUUUGCUAAUACCGCAUACGAUCUACGGAUGAAAGCGGGGGAUCUUCGGACCUCGCGCGGACGGAGCGGCCGAUGGCAGAUUAGGUAGUUGGUGGGAUAAAAGCUUACCAAGCCGACGAUCUGUAGCUGGUCUGAGAGGAUGAUCAGCCACACUGGGACUGAGACACGGCCCAGACUCUUACGGGAGGCAGCAGUGGGGAAUUUUGGACAAUGGGCGAAAGCCUGAUCCAGCCAUGCCGCGUGCAGGAUGAAGGCCUUCGGGUUGUAAACUGCUUUUGUACGGAACGAAAAGCCUCUUUCUAAUAAAGAGGGGUCAUGACGGUACCGUAAGAAUAAGCACCGGCUAACUACGUG